rnacentral:rRNA from 1 species
GACAGAGGUGCCGAGCGUUAGGCGGAAUCACUGGGCUUAAAGCGUGUGUAGGCGGGCCGUUAAGUGUCUUGUGAAAUCCCCCGGCUCAACCGGGGAAUUGCUGGGCAUACUGGCGGUCUUGAGCGAUCUAGGGGCAGAUGGAACAAGUGGUGGAGCGGUGAAAUGCGUAGAUAUCACUUGGAACGCCAAAGGUGAAGACAGUCUGCUGGGGAUCUGCUGACGCUGAGACACGAAAGCCAGGGGAGCGAAUGGG